GUAUGUUGUUGUACUAGGACAAUACAGCAGGACAAUACAACAGGACAAUACAGCAGGACAAUACAACAGGACAAUACAACAGGACAAUACAACAGGACAAUACAGCAGGACAAUACAACAGGACAAUACAACAGGACAAUACAACAGGACAAUACAGCUGGACAAUACAACAGGACAAUACAGCUGGACAAUACAGCAGGACAAUACAACAGGACAAUACAGCUGGACAAUACAACAGGACAAUACAGCAGGACAAUACAGCAGGACAAUACAGCAGGACAAUACAGCAGGACAAUACAGCAGGACAAUACAACAGGACAAUACAGCAGGACAAUACAGCAGGACAAUACAACAGGACAAUACAGCAGGACAAUUCAACAGGACAAUACAGCAGGACAAUUCAACAGGACAAUACAGCAGGACAAUACAACAGGACAAUACAGCUGGACUAUAAAACAGGACAAUACAACAGGACAAUACAGCAGGACAAUACAGCUGGACAAUACAACAGGACAAUACAGCAGGACAAUACAACAGGACAAUACAACUGGACUAUACAACAGGACAAUACAGCAGGACUAUAAAACAGGACAAUACAGCUGGACUAUAAAACAGGACAAUACAACAGGACAAUACAGCAGGACAAUACAGCUGGACAAUACAGCAGGACAAUACAGCAGGACAAUACAACAGGACAAUACAACAGGACAAUACAGCAGGACAAUACAACAGGACAAUACAGCAGGACAAUACAGCAGGACUAUAAAACAGGACAAUACAGCAGGACAAUACAGCAGGACAAUACAGCAGGACAAUACAACAGGACAAUACAGCUGGACAAUACAACAGAACUAUAAAACAGGACAAUACAGCAGGACAAUACAGCUGGACAAUACAGCAGGACAAUACAACAGGACUAUAAAACAGGACAAUACAGCAGGACAAUACAACAGGACAAUACAGCAGGACAAUACAGCAGGACAAUACAGCAGGACAAUACAGCAGGACAAUACAACAGGACAAUACAGCAGGACAAUACAGCAGGACAAUACAACAGGACAAUACAACAGGACAAUACAGCAGGACAAUACAGCUGGACAAUACAACAGGACUAUAAAACAGGACAAUACAGCAGGACAAUACAGCAGGACAAUACAGCAGGACAAUACAGCUGGACAAUACAGCAGGACAAUACAGCAGGACAAUACAACAGGACUAUAA
rnacentral:lncRNA from 1 species